rnacentral:tRNA from 1 species
UGGGGAGUGGCCAAGCGGUAAGGCAUCUGACUCUGGAUCAGACAAUCGGAGGUUCGAAUCCUCCCUCCCCAGCCG